rnacentral:rRNA from 1 species
AUUGAACGCUGGCGGCAUGCUUUACACAUGCAAGUCGAACGGCAGCGCGGGCUUCGGCCUGGCGGCGAGUGGCGAACGGGUGAGUAAUGCAUCGGAACGUGCCCAGUAGUGGGGGAUAGCCCGGCGAAAGCCGGAUUAAUACCGCAUACGACCUGAGGGUGAAAGCGGGGGACCGAAAGGCCUCGCGCUAUUGGAGCGGCCGAUGUCGGAUUAGCUAGUUGGUGGGGUAAAGGCUUACCAAGGCGACGAUCCGUAGCUGGUCUGAGAGGACGACCAGCCACACUGUGACUGAGACACGGCCCAGACUCCUACGGGAGGCAGCAGUGGGGAAUUUUGGACAAUGGGGGCAACCCUGAUCCAGCCAUGCCGCGUGCGGGAAGAAGGCCUUCGGGUUGUAAACCGCUUUUGUUCGGGAAGAAAUCCUCUGGGCUAAUACCCCGGGGGGAUGACGGUACCGGAAGAAUGAGCACCGGCUAACUACGUG